CGGUGGAGCAUGUGGUUUAAUUCGAAGCAACGCGAAGAACCUUACCAAAUCUUGACAUCCUUUGACCGCUCUAGAGAUAGAGUCUUCCCCUUCGGGGGACAAAGUGACAGGUGGUGCAUGGUUGUCGUCAGCUCGUGUCGUGAGAUGUUGGGUUAAGUCCCGCAACGAGCGCAACCCUUAAGCUUAGUUGCCAUCAUUAAGUUGGGCACUCUAAGUUGACUGCCGGUGACAAACCGGAGGAAGGUGGGGAUGACGUCAAAUCAUCAUGCCCCUUAUGAUUUGGGCUACACACGUGCUACAAUGGACAAUACAAAGGGCAGCUAAACCGCGAGGUCAAGCAAAUCCCAUAAAGUUGUUCUCAGUUCGGAUUGUAGUCUGCAACUCGACUACAUGAAGCUGGAAUCGCUAGUAAUCGUAGAUCAGCAUGCUACGGUGAAUACGUUCCCGGGUCUUGUACACACCGCCCGUCACACCACGAGAGUUUGUAACACCCGAAGCCGGUGGAGUAACCAUUUAUGGAGCUAGCCGUCGAAGGUGGGACAAAUGAUUGGGGUGAAGUCGUAACAAGGUAGCCGUAUCGGAAGGUGCGGCUGGAUCACCUCCUUUCUAAGGA
rnacentral:rRNA from 1 species